UGGUGAGUAACACGUAAGCAACCUGCCUAUCAGAGGGGAAUAACAGUGAGAAAUCAUUGCUAAUACCGCAUAUGCUAACAGUAUCGCAUGAUACAGUUAGGAAAGGAGCAAUCCGCUGAUAGAUGGGCUUGCGUCUGAUUAGCUAGUUGGUGGGGUAACGGCCUACCAAGGCGACGAUCAGUAGCCGGACUGAGAGGUUGAACGGCCACAUUGGGACUGAGAUACGGCCCAGACUCCUACGGGAGGCAGCAGUCGGGAAUAUUGCGCAAUGGAGGAAACUCUGACGCAGUGACGCCGCGUAUAGGAAGAAGGUUUUCGGAUUGUAAACUAUUGUCGUUAGGGAAGAUACAAGACAGUACCUAAGGAGGAAGCCCCGGCUAACUAUGUGCCAGCAGCCGCGGUAAUACAUAGGGGGCAAGCGUUAUCCGGAAUUAUUGGGUGUAAAGGGUGCGUAGACGGAGAAACAAGUUGGUUGUGAAAUCCCUCGGCUCAACUGAGGAACUGCAACCAAAACUAUUUCCCUUGAGUGUCGGAGAGGAAAGUGGAAUUCCUAGUGUAGCGGUGAAAUGCGUAGAUAUUAGGAGGAACACCAGUGGCGAAGGCGACUUUCUGGACGAUAACUGACGUUGAGGCACGAAAGUGUGGGGAGCAAACAGGAUUAGAUACCCUGGUAGUCCACACUGUAAACGAU
rnacentral:rRNA from 1 species